rnacentral:tRNA from 1 species
AGUUAAUUAGCUUAAUAAGCUUAUGUUUUGAAAACAUAGAUUAGAAGUUAAAAUCUUCUAUUAACUU